GUUACAAGUGUUCUGAGGCUUGGUGUGAUGGUUGGGUGUGAUUGUGGUGCGGGUGUAUUGGUGGUGAAUAGCUGGUGUGUGGCGUGUCGGGUCUGCUGGGAGAUGCGGGGGCGUAACGCCGGGCGUGCAGGGGGUACGGGCAUAACUUGAGUACAGUAUGGGAGACUGGAAUUCCGGGUGUAGCGGUGAAAUGCGCAGAUAUCAGGAGGAACACCGGUGGCGAAGUCGGGUCUCUGGGCAGUAACUGACUCUGAGGAGCGAAAGCAUGGGUAGCGAACAGGAUUAGAUACCCCGGUAGUC
rnacentral:rRNA from 1 species